rnacentral:rRNA from 1 species
GAUGAACGCUGGCGGCGCGCCUAAUACAUGCAAGUCGAGCGAACAGACGAGGAGCUUGCUCCUCUGACGUUAGCGGAGGACGGGUGAGUAACACGUGGAUAACCUACCUAUAAGACUGGGAUAACUUCGGGAAACCGGAGCUAAUACCGGAUAAUAUAUUGAACCGCAUGGUUCAAUAGUGAAAGACGGUUUUGCUGUCACUUAUAGAUGGAUCCGCGCCGCAUUAGCUAGUUGGUAAGGUAACGGCUUACCAAGGCAACGAUGCGUAGCCGACCUGAGAGGGUGAUCGGCCACACUGGAACUGAGACACGGUCCAGACUCCUACGGGAGGCAGCAGUAGGGAAUCUUCCGCAAUGGGCGAAAGCUUGACGGAGCAACGCCGCGUGAGUGAUGAAGGUCUUCGGAUCGUAAAACUCUGUUAUUAGGGAAGAACAAAUGUGUAAGUAACUAUGCACGUCUUGACGGUACCUAAUCAGAAAGCCACGGCUAACUACGUG